AAAGAAAAAGCCCAGUUCUAUAAACGGACAGGAAUGCUGUUGUGGAGAAUAUGAGGACAUCCCAGGGCAGGUGCAGGUGCAACACAGGAUAUCACUGCCCGGCCUCAGGCUGUCUGCACGCUUUCACCCGACAACCCAGACCAAGUGAAGGAACAAAAUGGCCCCCUGAGGAAGGUCGAAAGGCCUGGGCGCCUUCAGAGGUCCCUCCCCGGCUAAGGUCUGGAGGCUUCCCAUAAGA